rnacentral:lncRNA from 1 species
CCUUAUACCUGUCUCCUCAAUAGGAUAGUUCCGUCUUAGAAACAUAGAGAUCUUAAUGUCCUAGGAUUUCUAUAUAUAUAUAUAGGAGUGGAGUGGGGACCUAGUCCAAUUAGUAAUGCUAAUAAAUCUAUCCAUCACAUAGCCCAUUAGCUGAGUCAGAUCUACACCGAUAUCUACUGCAUCACAUGACCGAGAUAAUAGGACUUAAAAUAAUAUGAUCAUA